AUUGAACGCUGGCGGCAUGCCUAACACAUGCAAGUCGAACGGCAGCACGUUUUAGUUUACUAGAAUGGUGGCGAGUGGCGCACGGGUGAGUAAUGCGUAGGAAUAUACCUUGAAGUGGGGGAUAACUUGGGGAAACUCAAGCUAAUACCCCAUGAGCUCUAAGGAGGAAAGCUGGGGACCUGAGAGGUCCUGGUGCUUUAAGAAUAGCUUACGUCCGAUUAGCUAGUUGGUGGGGUAAGGCUUACCAAGGCGACGAUCGGUAGCUGGUCUGAGAGGAUGAUCAGCCACACUGGGACUGAGACACGGCCCAGACUCCUACGGGAGGCAGCAGUGGGGAAUAUUGGACAAUGGGGGCAACCCUGAUCCAGCGAUGCCGCGUGUGUGAAGAAGGCCUGCGGGUUGUAAAGCACUUUCAGUGGGGAGGAGAGGUGACAGGUUAAGAGCUAGUUGCUGAGACGUUACCCACAGAAGAAGCACCGGCUAACUCCGUGCCAGCAGCCGCAGUAA
rnacentral:rRNA from 1 species